CCACUUGCUUACGCGAGACGCGACACCAAUACGCCAUCCACUGAUCCACCUCGCCUUCUGCUUCCUUCAGCGGUUCCGCCCAUCGACUCGACAGAUCCUUGUUCACGACCUCACCCUAUUCAGAUCCCAAGCGGCCACGCCCAAGCCCAAACCCUACCCACCCAUCUCAAGUUCUCAACCAGCGAUGAUGGCAGCGGAGCCCUCGCCGUCGGUUCCCUCCACCGCCGCUGAAGACAUGGAAACCCUCGCCCUCGACUCAUCCUCGUCGUCCGCCGCCGCUACGGCCUCCGCCUCCGACCCCCUCCUUCGGCCACCUACCUCCCCGACCGCCGCCGCGAGCGACGACCCCUUCGUCAUCGACGACUUCCUCGACGAGGACGACUUCACCGCCCCGCCGCCCAGCGUCGCCGGCCCGCCGCCCGCCGUGCUUGGCGAUGCGGCGUCCCCAGUGUUCCCCAAGAUCACCGUAUCCGAUCCCAAGAAGCACGCCGAGCCUAGCGGCGGGGGUGCUGCCGGUGUGAUCCCAGGGUCCGGCAGCUACUUUUCUUACCUCAUCACCACACGUUUUGCGGGCGGCGGUGGGGAAGUCCGCGUGCGGCGGCGCUUCCGCGACGUGGUGGCCCUCGCGGACGGCCUUGCCGCAGCUCACCGCGGCCUAUUUGUCCCGGCCCGGCCCGACAAAAGCGUCCUCGAGGGGCAGGUCUUGCAACGCCACAACUUCGUGAGCCAGCGGUGCGCUGCGCUCCAGCGUUACCUCUGCCGCCUUGCCGCGCACCCCAUCGUCGGCCAGAGCCCUGGUCUCCGCACGUUCCUCACGGAGCCUGGUGCCAUCCCCGCCUUCCAGAGUGAGGCACCGCGGUACUGGACAACCACGGUGAAUGCUGCUGCUCCGAUGGUUCAGAUGAAAGCUGGGAGGGACUUGUUUGGGAUGUUUAAGGGUCUCAAGCAGACGAUGGUGAAUGGGAUGGUUGCAACAAAGCCUCCACCUGUGGAGCAGGAGACAGAUACAGAGUUCCUGGCGCACAAGGCCAGGUUCGAGGACUUACAACAGCAGCUUACCACAACAUCACAGCAGGCUGAAGCGCUCGUUAAAGCCCAAGAUGGUUAUAGAGAAACUACAGGUCACUUGGGAAUGACAUUGAUUAAGCUGGCAAAAUUUGAAAGAGAGCAGGCAACAUGUAACUCCCUAAGAAGACGGUCUGGUGAAAUCCAUAACUUUGCAAAUUCUGUUUUGAAGAUGAGCAGGUCACAGAUAAAAUUGAACUCUGAAAUUGUGAAACACCUGGGUAGUAUCCAUGAAUAUUUGGAGAUGAUGAUAUCAGUUCAUCAUGCAUUUACAGAUCGCUCUAAUGCUUUACAUUACGUGCAAAUUCUGUCAGCAGAUUUGUUUUCCUUGCAUAUCAGGGCAAGGAGACUUGAAUCGUCGUCAGCAAGAGAUAUGGGGCACGAGUGGUCAACAUAUCAGAAAGUAGAGGGGUUGAAAGAAACAAUAAGAUCAGCGGAAGCAGCCAAAAGUGAUGCAGUUAGAGAAUAUGAAAGUAUUAAGAUAUGGCAAAUUCAGCAUAAGGGCAGACCUAGUACCGGAGGCUCCAGAGGCUUGGGGUCUGGAGAAGGGAUAAAUUGAGGAAAACAACAAGAUUGAAAUAAAAAGAUUUGACAAGGAAAGACGCCACGAUUUCAUCGAGAUGCUGAAAGGUUUUGUGAUAACUCAGGUGUCUUAUUCAGACCAUUUUGCUAACAUGUGGACAAAGGUAACGGAGGAAACAGAAGUAUAUGCAAACAGGAGCAGCUGAUGUACGUAUAGGGAGUGUAGAAUAGUUGAUUUUGAUCUAUUUAAUUUGCUCCAACAUCCAACGACAACAAUCAUUCUUAUUCUUCCCCAGUUUUGUCACCUUGAGUUGGUUGUAAACUUGUAAUGCCACAUGAGUCAUGUGCAGUCGUGAAAUUGGGUCCCGGCAGAUGAGCUUCUGUGCUACCCGAGAACUGGCAUGUGUAUGUGAGAACCAUACGCAAACGUGGUUUAGGUUGAAAAAUAAUGGCGAUACUAGAAA